UCAUGAUUCAUCAAACUUAGUAGACACGAAAUUAACAUGAAAUCAUUUGAUACACAUAUUAUUAAAAAUGUUUAAAUAUUGAAUGCUAAUGAUAUUUGAAGAAAAUUGUUUGGAGUGAGAUAUUAAGCAGAAAUUUAAUUUCACAAAAUUUCCCUCAUUUUCUCCUACCUCCAUUCUUUUCAGUCCAUAGAACUUCCAAUCCAACCAAAAAAUAAGAAUUUCGUAGGCUCUCUCUCACUUAGAGCUCAAUAAUGACUAAAUGCAAAAUCCACCACCACCAUACAUCAUCAGCAGCAAUUCACCUAACUGAAAUUCACCCUCAUCUCUCUCAUCUAUGGCCAAAGUUGAAGCUUAUAAACCGGUAUGAGAAGAAGAAGAAGACAACGAAGGAGUUGAAAAAACAAACGGCAGCAACUUCCCCAAAUGUUCCCCCAAUUGAAAACCUCAACUCUCAAUAGGUGUCACACUUGAGGAAACACAGCUGCACAUCUAAAGGUUGAAGAACAAUGAAGGAAAAAAAUCCUCCACUAAAACAACGAUGGCGGAUGAAAGAGUGAAGUGGCAGGGAGGAGGGAGAGAAGAGAUGGGGAAAUAAUUGAUGAUGGGUGCAGAAAUCUGCAAAAAAGUAAGAAAAUAGCUGACAUGUCCAUGUAAUUCUCUCGAUCAUCAACUUCCUUGCCGGAGUGCAAAUCUCUCGAUCCAAUUCGGCCUUGCUCUAGUAGCACUUAUGGAAUCGCACAUCCGACACAGGUCUCUGCUCCACCGUUUGUCUUCUGUUGGAAUUGUCAUCUCGAACUCGCCGUUGUUCAAAGAACGGUGAUAAUACAUUACCUCCACCUCUCGUCUUCUAUUGGAAUCCUUAUGUGGGAGAUGAAAGCUAAGGAACCAAAAUGAUUUAGGAAACAAAGUG
rnacentral:lncRNA from 1 species